rnacentral:tRNA from 1 species
GGGGGUAUAGCUCAGUGGUAGAGCCUUCGACUGCAGAUCGGGAGGUCCCCGGUUCAAAUCCAGGUGUUCCCU